rnacentral:rRNA from 1 species
CCUACGGGUGGCAGCAGUGAGGAAUAUUGGUCAAUGGACGGAAGUCUGAACCAGCCAUGCCGCGUGCAGGAAGACGGCUCUAUGAGUUGUAAACUGCUUUUGUACAAGGGUAAACCUGAAUACGUGUAUUCAGCUGAAAGUACUGUACGAAUAAGGAUCGGCUAACUCCGUGCCAGCAGCAGCGGUAAUACGGAGGAUCCAAGCGUUAUCCGGAUUUAUGGGGUUUAAAGGGUGCGUAGGCGGAUUGAUAAGUUAGAGGUGAAAUGUCCGAGCUUAACUCGGGAACUGCCUCUAAUACUGUUGGUCUAGAGAGUAGAUGCGGUAGGCGGAAUGUAUGGUGUAGCGGUGAAAUGCUUAGAGAUCAUACAGAACACCGAUUGCGAAGGCAGCUUACCAAUCUAUAUCUGACGUUGAGGCACGAAAGCGUGGGGAGCAAACAGGAUUAGAUACCCUGGUAGUC